rnacentral:rRNA from 1 species
CCUACGGGAGGCAGCAGUGGGGAAUUUUGGGCAAUGCCCGAAAGGGUGACCCAGCAACGCCGCGUGGAGGAUGAAGUCCUUCUGGACGUAAACUCCUUUUAGAGGGGACGAAAAGCCCGAUUUGUCGGGAAUUGACGGUACCCUCAGAAAAAGCACCGACUAACUACGUGCCAGCAGCCGCGGUAAUACAUAGGGUGCAAGCGUUGUCCGGAUUCACUGGGUGUAAAGGGUGCGCAGGCGGGUUCUUAAGUCAAAGGUAAAAUCUCUGGGCUAAACCGAGAAAUUGCCUUUGAUACUGAGAGCCUUGAGUACGGAAGAGGGAGAUGAAAUUCCAGGUGUAGCGGUGAAAUGCGUAGAUAUCUGGAGGAACACCGGAGGCGAAGGCGGUCUCCUGGCCCGUUACUGACGCUCAGGCACGAAAGCGUGGGGAGCAAACAGGAUUAGAUCCCCGGGUAGU